rnacentral:piRNA from 1 species
UCUCUCUAAUGGAAACAAAGC